rnacentral:lncRNA from 1 species
GGGAGUGCUGGUGUAACUUCGGGCGCAGGCCUUUCGGCUUCCACUAUGAAGCGGCCGAAAUUAAAGAAAGCAAGUAAACGCAUGACCUGCCACAAGCGGUAUAAAAUCCAAAAAAAGGUUCGAGAGCACCAUCGAAAGUUGAGGAAAGAGGCUAAAAAACGGGGUCGAAAGAAGCCUAGGAAAGACCCAGGAGUUCCAAACAGUGCUCCUUUUAAGGAGGCUCUUCUUCGGGAAGCUGAGCUAAGGAAACAGCAGCUUGAAGAACUGAAACAGCAGCAGAAACUUGACAGGCAAAAGGAACAGAACAAGAAAAGAAAACUUGAAACUGACCCUGAUGUUGAGCUAUCUAACACAGAACCUGUAAGAGAAGAAUCAGGGCAACGCAAAGCUAAGAGAGCCAAGACAAGCAAACAGAGUCCGAAGAUGCUGCACUGCCAGGAACUUAAAAAGGUGAUUGAAGCCUCAGAUGUUGUGCUAGAGGUGUUGGAUGCCAGAGAUCCUCUUGGUUGCAGGUGUCCCCAGGUAGAAGAAGCCAUCAUCAGGGGCGGACAGAAAAAGCUGGUACUUGUAUUAAAUAAAUCACUUGUGAAGGUAAAGAAGAAAGCUGCUCUGUCCAAAAGUGAAGCCUGUGUUGGAAAAGAAGGCCUUUGGAAGCUUCUUGAAGGUUUUCAGAAAACUUGUGGCAAAGCCAUUCACGUUGGGGUAAUUGGUUUCCCAAAUGUGGGGAAAAGCAGUGUCAUCAAUAGCUUAAAGCAAGAACAGAUAUGCAGUGUUGGUGUAUCCAUGGGGCUCACGAGGUGCAUGCAGCUUGUCCCCUUGGACAAACAAAUCACGAUCAUAGACAGUCCGUGUUUCAUUGUGUCUCCACUUAACUCUGCUCCUGCACUUGCUCUGAGAAGUCCAGCAAGUAUUGAGGAAGUAAAACCACUGGAAGCUGCCAGCGCCAUCCUGUCCCAGGCUGAUGCCCAGCAGGUAGUACUGAAAUUUACUGUCCCAGUCUUUACGAAUUCUCUGGAAUUUUUUACUUCAUUUGCUCAGAGAAGAGGACUGCACCAAAAAGGUGGAAGCCCAAAUGUAGAAAGGGCUGCCAGAGUGCUGUGGUCUGAGUGGACAGGUGCUUUCUUAGUUUACUAUUGCCAUCCCCCUGCAUCUUGGACUCCUCCUCCACAUUUUAAUGAGAGCAUUGUGACAGACAUGAAAUGGGGCUUUGAUCUGGAAGAACUGGAAAAGAACAAUGCACACAGCAUACAAGCCAUCAAGAGCCCUCAUUUAGCCAGUAGCAUCCUCUUCCAGUCAUCGGGUCUGACAAAUGGAGUGAUAGAUGAAAAGGACAUACCUGAAGAAUUGCCAAAACAGAAAAAACAGAAGCAGGAGCAGGAGGAGAGCUAUGAAGAUGUCAGGAUAGAUCAGGGAAUUGUUGACAAAGAAGGUGAUGAUGAGAGCUUAGACAUGUCCCCUGCAGAAGAGGCCUGUGAGGCACUGCCUGAGAAGUCUCAAGCAGAGAAGCAGUCUGCACCAUCUUUUGUCUUGGAUAAAAUGACUGAAGAGGAAGAUGAUGCUUAUGACUUCAGUACAGAUUAUGUAUAA